UACGUAGGGUGCAAGCGUUAAUCGGAAUUACUGGGCGUAAAGCGUGCGCAGGCGGUGAUGUAAGACAGAUGUGAAAUCCCCGGGGCUCAACCUGGGAACUGCAUUUGUGACUACAUCGCUGGAGUACGGCAGAGGGGGAUGGAAUUCCGCGUGUAGCAGUGAAAUGCGUAGAUAUGCGGAGGAACACCAGUGGCGAAGGCGACUACCUGGCCUGUUCUUGACGCUGAGGCGCGAAAGCUAGGGGAGCAAACGGG
rnacentral:rRNA from 1 species